rnacentral:rRNA from 1 species
UACGUAGGGUGCAAGCGUUGUCCGGAAUUAUUGGGCGUAAAGAGCUCGUAGGCGGUCUGUCGCGUCUGCUGUGAAAAUCCAGGGCUCAACCCUGGACCUGCAGUGGGUACGGGCAGACUAGAGUGCGGUAGGGGAGAUCGGAAUUCCUGGUGUAGCGGUGAAAUGCGCAGAUAUCAGGAGGAACACCGGUGGCGAAGGCGGGUCUCUGGGCCGAAACUGACGCUGAGGAGCGAAAGCGUGGGGAGCAAACAGG